rnacentral:rRNA from 1 species
UACGUAGGGGGCAAGCGUUGUCCGGAUUUAUUGGGCGUAAAGAGCGUGUAGGCGGCCAGUUAGGUCCGUUGUGAAAACUCGAGGCUCAACCUCGAGACGCCGAUGGAAACCAACUGGCUAGAGUCCGGAAGAGGAGAGUGGAAUUCCCGGUGUAGCGGUGAAAUGCGCAGAUAUCGGGAGGAACACCAAUGGCGGAGGCAGCUCUCUGGGACGGUACUGACGCUGAGACGCGAAAGCGUGGGGAGCGAACAGG